rnacentral:rRNA from 1 species
AUUGAACGCUGGCGGCAGGCCUAACACAUGCAAGUCGAGCGGAUGAAGGGAGCUUGCUCCUGGAUUCAGCGGCGGACGGGUGAGUAAUGCCUAGGAAUCUGCCUGGUAGUGGGGGAUAACGUCCGGAAACGGGCGCUAAUACCGCAUACGUCCUGAGGGAGAAAGUGGGGGAUCUUCGGACCUCACGCUAUCAGAUGAGCCUAGGUCGGAUUAGCUAGUUGGUGGGGUAAAGGCCUACCAAGGCGACGAUCCGUAACUGGUCUGAGAGGAUGACCAGUCACACUGGGACUGAGACACGGUCCAGACUCCGACGGGAGGCAGCGGUGGGGAAUAUUGGAAGAUGGGCGAAAGCCUGAUCCAGCCAUGCCGCGUGUGUGAAGAAGGUCUUCGGAUUGUAAAGCACUUUAAGUUGGGAGGAAGGGCAGUAAGUUAGUACCUUGCUGUUUUGACGUUACCAACAGAAUAAGCACCGGCUAACUUCGUG